CUGGUGAGCGGCGUCUGGCUAGCGCAUUCGACAGACGAUAACGUGAGACUGACAUCAACCGCAGGGGCAGGCAUAGGCAAGGUGGAUGCCACGUACCGCACUGGGAAGCAUUCUUGUAUUGGCGCAAAUUUGACGAAGCAAGCAACAGCCGCACCUUUAACAAUGUGUCGACAUUCCCUGCUACAAUUCGUCAGCCGGAGUUCAGCAUGUCCGUUGAGUACAUUAAUUACGGCCCUGGCGAUGGAAACACCCCGACUCAGUACCAGUGCGUUGAUGUGUUCAUCGACUCCAGUCCCGGUGUGCAAGUUGUCGCAGAUUACAGGCACGAGGGAACAGCUGCGCGGCGGAAGCGUCACAUCGUUGUCGGCGAGAGAGCUAGGAGAUUGUCGAGCUUUUCUCGGAGAGGCAGAAGAACAACCAUCAUGUCCUUAAUACCGCUUAGUUCUUCUCUGUUUUAUUCUUUUCUGCAUCCCAGAAUAACCCGGUUCUAUUGAUUAUCGACGGAAGAAUGUGAGCCCAAGGGCACCCACGGCUUUUCUAUUGCUUGAAGCUGCACUAUCCGGGAAUAUACGCGCCGGCGACGGCAUUCACAUUAGAAAGAAGGUAGCUGUAAACAAAGUGCAGCUGCGUCUUUGGCAAAGCCUGAAUAAAUACGUGGAGAAGCUCUGA